rnacentral:tRNA from 1 species
AGGAUAGGGGUUAAUGUAAUAGUAGCUGCUAACUACUUUGUAGUUUAUAUAACUAUUUUA